UACGGAGGCGGCAAGCGUUGUCCGGAUUUACUGGGCGUAAAGAGCGCGCAGGCGGUCGUUCAAGUCGCGUGUGAAAGCCCCCGGCUCAACUGGGGAGGGUCACGCGAUACUGAUCGACUCGAAGGCAGGAGAGGGAAGUGGAAUUCCCGGUGUAGUGGUGAAAUGCGUAGAUAUCGGGAGGAACACCAGUGGCGAAGGCGACUUCCUGGCCUGUUCUUGACGCUGAGGCGCGAAAGCUAGGGGAGCAAACGGG
rnacentral:rRNA from 1 species